UACGUAGGCAGCGAGCGUUGUUCGGAGUUACUGGGCGUAAAGGGUGUGUAGGCGGUUGCUUAAGUUUGGUGUGAAAUCUCCCGGCUCAACUGGGAGGGUGCGCCGAAUACUGAGUGACUCGAGUGCGGGAGAGGAGAGUGGAAUUCCUGGUGUAGCGGUGAAAUGCGUAGAUAUCAGGAGGAACACCGAUUGCGAAGGCAGCUCGCUGGGACGUAACUGACGCUGAGACGCGAAAGCGUGGGGAGCAAACAGG
rnacentral:rRNA from 1 species